GGACCGGUAGCUCAGUUGGUUAGAGCGUCUCCCUGUCACGGAGAAGGUCGCGAGUUCGAGUCUCGUCCGGUCCGCCU
rnacentral:tRNA from 3 species